rnacentral:misc_RNA from 1 species
UGUUGCUAAGAAUGAUUAAAAUUAAAGAUGCCAUAAUAAGCUCUUUGGCUCUAAUUAGGAGUGAUCUUAGUCUCUAAAAUGCAGAAUGGGAUUUGAUCGAAAAAGCGAUUCCAAUCUUAAAACCCUUUUACGAAAUAACCCAAGAAAUAAGCACAGAAACGCACGUCAGUCUUUCUAAAGUUUUAGAUUUUACAAAUUUAAUGUGCAAACGUGUAGCUAAAGAAAUUUUUACGUCAAAAUGACGCACAAAUAAAGAUAUUACUAGAAGAACUUCAAAACCAAUUAAUGGCCAGAUUCCAUGACUUAGAAUCGAAUGUACUAUAUUCCGAUUCCUGCAUGCUUAAUCCUCGGUUAAAAAAAGGGGAUUUAGGACCCCAGAAGCCUUUGAACGUGCUUUGGGAGGAUUAAGGCCCAGGAUAGAUGAUGUAGGUAUGUGAUUAAAACCGCUUUGAAAUUAUUAAAAAACUUUAAAAAAGCAAAAGAAAAACAAAAACAAAAGGAAGUAAAAAAAUAAUAAUAAUAAUAAUAAAAA